UAAGCGGAGGAGAAGAAACUAACCAGGAUUUCCCUAGUAACGGCGAGCGAACCGGAAAGAGCCCAGCUUGAAAAUCGCGGCGCUUCGCGCCGCGAGUUGUAGUCUGGAGAUGCAUCUUCUGCAGCGCACCGGGCCCAAGUUCCCUGGAAAGGGACGUCAGAGAGGGUGACAACCCCGUCGAGCCCGGAGCGUGCUGCUCCACGAAAUGCAGUCGUCGAGUCGAGCUGUUUGGGAAUGCAGCUCUAAGUGGGUGGUAAAUUCCAUCCAAGGCUAAAUAUUGGCAGGAGACCGAUAGCGAACAAGUACCGCGAGGGAAAGAUGAAAAGGACUUUGAAAAGAGAGUUAAAAAGUGCUUGAAAUUGCUGGGAGGGAAGCGAAUGGAAGCUGCGGGUGCGCCCCGGUUGGAUGUGGAACGGCUCCUAAAGGGCUGGUCCGCCGCUCAACGCGGGGCGCUGGUCAGCGUGGGCUGCCGCGGCGGGACAAGAGCGGGGUGUAGCUCCCCGUCGAUGCCGUUGCGGCGGCCGAGGAACGAAGCAUGCGGCCCCUCUCCUGGGGCCGUGGGUCCUUAAAACGCCCAACUGCAUGCUCGGGACGCUGGCGUAUUGGGCUCUUCAUCCGACCCGUCUUGAAACACGGACCAAGGAGUCUAACAUGUAUGCGAGCCGGUGGGCGGCAAACCCAUUGAGGCGCAAGUAACCUGACAGGUGGGACCCCGAUCGUCAAAGAGAGGGAGCACCAUCGACCGACCGUGAUCUUCUGUGAAAGGUUUGAGUGUGAGCAUACCUGUUGGGACCCGAAAGAUGGUGAACUAUGCCUGAGCAGGGCGAAGCCAGAGGAAACUCUGGUGGAGGCUCGUAGCGAUACUGACGUGCAAAUCGUUCGUCAGACUUGGGUAUAGGGGCGAAAGACUAAUCGAACCAUCUAGUAGCUGGUUCCCUCCGAAGUUUCCCUCAGGAUAGCUGGAGCUCGUGUGUGAGUUUUAUCAGGUAAAGCGAAUGAUUAGAGGCAUCGGGGGUGUAACACCCUCGACCUAUUCUCAAACUUUAAAUAGGUAAGCCGCCGGGGUUGCUUGGCUGAACCCCGGCACAGAAUGAGAGCUCCAAGUGGGCCAU
rnacentral:rRNA from 1 species